rnacentral:rRNA from 1 species
GUGGGGAAUAUUGCACAAUGGGGGAAACCCUGAUGCAGCGACGCCGCGUGAGCGAAGAAGUAUUUCGGUAUGUAAAGCUCUAUCAGCAGGGAAGAUAAUGACGGUACCUGACUAAGAAGCCCCGGCUAACUACGUGCCAGCAGCCGCGGUAAUACGUAGGGGGCAAGCGUUAUCCGGAUUUACUGGGUGUAAAGGGAGCGUAGACGGCAAGGCAAGUCUGAUGUGAAAACCCAGGGCUUAACCCUGGGACUGCAUUGGAAACUGUCUGGCUCGAGUGCCGGAGAGGUAAGCGGAAUUCCUAGUGUAGCGGUGAAAUGCGUAGAUAUUAGGAAGAACACCAGUGGCGAAGGCGGCUUACUGGACGGUAACUGACGUUGAGGCUCGAAAGCGUGGGGAGCAAACAGGAUUAGAUACCCGUGUAGUCC